rnacentral:lncRNA from 1 species
UUAACACAUGCUUGAGGUCCUCAAUUGAACUCCUUGAAGACCUGAUGCCAAAAGCCCUGAGAAGAGACUAUGAACUAUGAUAUAGAGGUGUUAACCCCAAGGACAAUUCUUCAACGAGAUGCUAUACAGCAAACUCUGUCUCAGAAUCUGUUUCCCAGAAAAUCCAACCAGCAAUUUUUAUGCCUAUGCAAUGAACAAUUCUGGGGGAAAAAUACCCAUCAAGUAUUUUGUAUUGGAUGGCUUUUAUUUUAUUUUAUUUAGGCACCGGUGCAAAAUUUCUGGCACUGUCAGGUUCUUUCAAAGUGGGUAUUUGUUAGUUUUGUUAUCAGAUAAAAAUAUUAAAGCAGUUUUUAUUUGGGAAAAUAAAAAUCCAGUGGUUUGGUUUUAGUCUGGUCAAAAUAGCUACCUCAAAGUCUGUAUCAAAAUGGCAGCAUCUGACCCAUCUAGCGUGCAUCCUUCUUAACGGGAAGAACUGAAAAGCCAUCAUGCAGUGCUGUUCCCCAAUUCAAAACACAAGUUCGAAUCAUCUUAGGCUCAAACUGAGAACUGGCAUUAGUCCAGUUAAAUUAAUCUGCAAGUUGCUCCGAAGUGGGGAAGCGGGGCAGGAUGGCUUACAUCUUAAAUGGACAAGUGUUGGACAGCAGAGUCCAUCUCCCUGGAGUUUAUCUUUGAUAACAGAUUUCUUCUGAAGAAUAGCCAAGUUUGUGAUUUUGUUUUUCAAAACUCUACUUCAGCAACAUGUGAAGAAAAGAAGAGGCUAUGGAAACACAUCUGAUUCCAGAUAUGAUCAUGGAAGACAGCCACCAGGAAACCCUCUGGGGAAAACAGGUCAAAUCAAUCAUCUGCAUCUCCCCAGUCCUCCCCCAAAGGCUGGUGGAUGAGGAAGGUAAAUAUCUACUCUAAGAAAUAGACAACUGGACAUGCACAUUCACAGUAGAGAGAAACCACCAAGGAGCGGAGGGCUGACCAUGCUGGACAAGUAGAUGAAUGCAUACAUCUAAACAAGGAUUGCUCUGGGUCUUCACAGAUUAAUGAGAUCAUGCUGGGAAUUCCCUUUGCAGGGAACUGGCUAACUGGCAUGCAGUUCUAUAAAUGCACAUCUGUCUCAUUAUCUUUUUUAAUAUACUUUACUGAAGUAUUCAUAUAGUUCUAAUAAGUAAAUAUUUUUAGCUUGCAAAA